UCAUAUUUAUUACUAGGAAAUGCUAACUUUAGGGUUGAUGUAAUGCCUGAGGAAUGUGAUAUGGAACAUGGAUUCUUCUCAUUGCAGGUUUAUUUGUCCUGGGAAUCCUUGCUACCAUCUUGUUGGUGGCCUUACCUGUGAUUCGAUAUGAGUUUUCCCGGUUCUUCUGUCGGUUCAAGCAGAGUUGCGGGAAGAACGGUUGAGUUUGG